rnacentral:rRNA from 1 species
UAAGGAAUAUUGGUCAAUGGACGCAAGUCUGAACCAGCCAUGCCGCGUGCAGGAUGACUGCCCUAUGGGUUGUAAACUGCUUUUAUACGGGAAGAAACCCCUCUACGUGUAGAGGGCUGACGGUACUGUAAGAAUAAGGACCGGCUAACUUCGUGCCAGCAGCCGCGGUAAUACGAAGGGUCCAAGCGUUAUCCGGAUUUAUUGGGUUUAAAGGGUGCGUAGGCGGCUUAUUAAGUCAGUGGUGAAAGCCUGCAGCUUAACUGCAGAACUGCCAUUGAUACUGAUGAGCUUGAGUAUAGUUGAGGUUGGCGGAAUGUGUCAUGUAGCGGUGAAAUGCUUAGAUAUGACACAGAACACCGAUUGCGAAGGCAGCUAGCUAAGCUAUAACUGACGCUGAUGCACGAAAGCGUGGGGAGCAAACAGG